rnacentral:SRP_RNA from 1 species
GCUGGGCAUGGUGGUGCAUGCCUGUAAUCCCAGCUACUUGGGAGGCUGCGGCAGGAGAAUUGCUGGAACCCAGGAGGCGGAGGUUGCAAUGAGCUGAGAUCGCGCCACUGCACUCUACCCUGGGUUGACACAGCAAUACCCUGCCUCUA